UUUAUCAAAUGCAUAUCAAGGAAGAGAGAGGUUGCUUCUUCAUCUCCACGAGGAAUCUCAUAUUAGACCGGGAGUAUAUGAUGCAAGAAAACAGAAGACAAUCUCAGUCCACCAAUGGUGCAAAUUCAAACCGAAGUCAAUCCUGUAUGUCUCUUUCUGAAUUUAGUAAUUCCUUCUCUAGCUCCCUUGAGUGAGAAAGGUUUGUAUCCAGAAAGCAACAAUCACAAAGAAAGAAAGCAAUAAAAAGUAAGCACAUUUCUAACCACAUGUGGCACUCAUCUUCCGUCCAGCAGCUCGCACUGUACGCCCUAAACAGACUAAGAAGAUAUGGCAUAAGGUCAGCUGACAUUUGCAGACACUGCCGUCUCAUAUGCCCCCAUGAGGAACUAAACAUUCAUGGGGUGUGACCAUGGUCGGGUUCCUAACACAGAUUCUUGCCUGAUCGUUAUGGUCUGAACCUUAGGAUUUCCUUCUCCAACAAGCCUGUAGUUCAUGAUCCCACUGAGUCCUUAUCUGUUGUGGGAAGUUUGACAAAAGUAUCAGGCUCACAAUAGCUGCAAGCACAUCUCCUGGAGCUCUCUCUCAGUGUCCCAGAGUCUCAAGACCUGUGUGGAAAUUUUCAGGCAUGGCAUCUUUCCCACUAUUUACCUAGAAGAACCCGAAGCACCCGCUGUACAGAAGGCUACGUGCAAUGAAGUGCAGGGUGUCAUUUCUACAUUUGUCCAAUCACUGUUCUCUGGGUGUCAAACAGGCAUCUAAUAUAUUAGAGUGUGACUAGGAGUAGUUGUUAUUAUAGAACAUUUCUAGCAGCCCCGUUAGAAUGUGCUUGAUCGUUUACAUUUAGCAAGAAUUUUGUUUUAGUUUCCUAACAAACUCAUUUCCCUCUUUUCUCUGUAACCAUUUUCAAAUCUAAGGUGGGGAUGGGGGAUGGGGGGGAAGGGCAUGUGGACACCAGCGCCCACCACACCUAGUGUCCCUUCCUGCAGGAGGCUCCCUGUGGGAGUGGAGGCAGGUGCGGAGGCGGGCUUGGGGGCUCCGCCGCCUCCCGUGUCCCCACGCCUGUGCCACAGCGGGGCCUCUGGGCGCUGCCUCGAGGAAGCGUGUCCCACUUCGCGCAAGGAAGUCACUCAAGCAAGGCCCACGAGGGAUUUGCUGCGCCAACGGGACGACGGAGCUCAGCCCUGGCCCCGGAGCCCUCGGACUCCAGCCCCGCCGGCCGCGCCAGGGAGCGGGGGCGCUGCCCAUUCACGGCCACGGGCCGAAGGGGCGCCCUGUCCUGCUGUCCUGCCCGGGCUGAGGCUCGGGAGGCGGGUGCGGAGGCAGGAUGCCCACCGGGCGAGCCCAGGAAACAAAGCUGCUCAGAGAGGCCGCCGCCCCGGGCCGCCUGAUGACAAGUCCCUGCCCGGCCCGACGUUCCUCCGCGGACAAGCCCAGACGGUGCCGAGACCUUCAAGCAGGUGCCGACCCGACCGUCCCAGGAGCGCUUUGCACCCCGAAGUGUACUCCAGGGAUCCACUCUUGCCUCUGCCUCUGCAUCAGCCGCGCCGACAUCUAUGCACACCAGACACCCCACCAUCCACAGCUGAAGCAGGAUUCCCUGUUAGGAUGCGGAGACCACCUGAAUCCUCUUGGUCCCGCUUUUGGUACACCGGAGCAUCAUGAAAACGAAUUACCAGAUUUAAACAUUAGGAUUCCUGUUGAAGUAUGCAGCAAAGAACAAGUAUUAUCUACAGAAACUGAAGCUCAAGGAGUUUACACUUCUACGUCCAAACAUACUUCACAUAUGCCUAGUGAGGGUAGGAAUAAAACAUCCUUAUAAUUAGAGCAUCUCAGAAUCCUAAUACAACAUAGAGAUUGCUGACCCUGGCCACCAUGGUUUGGUAGAAAAUGUCAACAUUGAUAAGAAAGGGCUCUUUUGCGGGAUAUUUGACUUAGAGAUGAUGUGAACAGUCAAACAUCACUGGAGUACUAACUGCGUCCCUUCUUCUAGCCCCAUUCCCCCUCGCCCAUCCUAUAACCACAGCCUUCACAUUGCUUUCUGUCCAGGGCCACUCCUGCAUCACUGUUCCUUCCUGUUUACAAUAGUAGAUGCCUUCUACACCUGGCCCUCUCACCCCCAAUGUCACUUCCACCAACAGAGCCCCAUUGUAGGGCUCUACUGCUUCCCACUUUCCUAUUUGGCUGCUUCUAAGAUCUAGUUCUAUUAAUGGUUGGAGAGUUGUCUGGCUUUCAGAACUUCUAUCUGGUUCCCUGUCUCCUUUCUCACUCUCCUGACCACUGUUGGCUUUGGAUCUCAGAGAUCCAUGGGCUCAGAGGAAUCUGAAUCACUGGACUCUAGCUGGGUAUAUAGCCUUGCUAUACUGUGAGUUAAACAGGAUUGUAUGGGCUAAUCUGAGAAUACAACCACAAUCAAUAGCAUCGUUUCUCUGAGAAAUAAAAUCUGACUUUGAAACAACCAACUCAUCAACUAACUUUGAGAUCACAUGUGUUCAUAAACUGCAAAAUUCCUGUGAUUAAAAUUGAAUAAAUACCCUGUCUCAGCAAAGUUGACUGCCUAUUAAAUAUUACUUGUUGAAAAAAAAAGGUCCUGCCCUAAAGGAGCUAGGUAUUAUGGGUAUAUUUUCUUUGCUAAUUUUUAUUUUAGCUGUUUUUGUGUGAAACAGGAUCCCAUGAAUCUGUUUCCGUCUUUGCUUUUGGACUCAAAAAUCAAAUCAAUUGCUUGGUGCAGAUUAGAAAACCCAAUAAAAAGCCAACUAAACUACUGAACGAGGCAAGCA